UGAAAAUGGCCAGUAGGCCUGUGGGCUGC
rnacentral:piRNA from 1 species